UACGGGGGGGGUAAGCGUUGUUCGGAAUUACUGGGCGUAAAGGGCUCGUAGGCGGCCAACUAAGUCAGACGUGAAAUCCCUCAGCUUAACUGGGGAACUGCGUCUGAUACUGGAUGGCUUGGAUUCGGGAGAGGAAUGCGGAAUUCCAGGUGUAGCGGUGAAAUGCGUAGAUAUCUGGAGGAACACCGGUGGCGAAGGCGGCACUCUGGACCGAUAUUGACGCUGAGGAGCGAAAGCCAGGGGAGCAAACGGG
rnacentral:rRNA from 1 species